rnacentral:misc_RNA from 1 species
GAUGAAGAACGCAGUGAAAUGCGAUAAGUAAUGUGAAUUGCAGAAUUCAGUGAAUCAUCGAAUCUUUGAACGCACAUUGCGCCCCUUGGUAUUCCGAGGGGCAUGCCUGUUCGAGCGUCAUUAUAACCCCUCAAGCUCAGCUUGGUGUUGGGGCCUGCUGCACUGGCAGCCCUUAAAAUCAGUGGCGGCGCCAUCUGGCUCUAAGCGUAGUAAUUCUUCUCGCUAUGGAGUCCUGGUGGAUGCUUGCCAUCAACCCCCAAUUUUUCUAUGGUUGACCUCGGAUCAGGUAGGGAUACCCGCUGAACUUAAGCAUAUCAAUAAGCGGAGGA